CGCUCCCAACCCAUCCAUGUUGUGUCCCAUAACACUGCUGUCCCUUGCAGUAGCUCAGCGUUCCCAGGGCUCAUCUGGGACUCAAAGCACAACAUCGGGCCAGUUCCACCCUUGCAGUACCGUCCAUUACAAAACCUGACAACACGAUACGGACAGUCCUGAAAACUAAAACCAAGUUGUGUUACUUUUUAAACAGAUACCACACAGAGCCUCGUCCAGCCUUGCGUAUCAUCAAUUCACUUCAACACAGGAACAUUUCAAAACAGGGAAAACUAAUUGACAGCCUGAAGGCUAAAUCCGGCUCCACAAGAUGGUUUUACUUGGAUCCCACGAUGGCCUAGAGCAUCA